CUUGGCGACCAUAGCGCGCUGGACCCACCCCUUCCCAUCCCGAACAGGACCGUGAAACAGCGUUGCGCCGAUGAUAGUGCGGUCAUACCCGUGCGAAAGUAGGUCAUUGCCAAGA
rfam:Betaproteobacteria bacterium TKL13-2, complete genome.